GGGAACCGGUUUUAUGCCUAAGCUGUGUUCAGAACCAAUUUAAUUUGGAACCUUUCAUUCAUUGUCUUGAUUGCAGAAUUCUGGAAGUCAAUUCCUACAACUGAGCCAUACCGUGUGAUUCUUGGCGAUGUAAGGGACAAGCUUUAUCACACACGUGAACGCGCUCAUCAAUUGCUCAGCAAUGGCCACUCUGAUGUCCCUGAAGAGGCUACUUUCGUUAAUUUGGAACAGGUAUCUUUGCAAUUAGAAUCCUUUGACUCCUUGUUAUGAUUUGGUACUAACCCGUACUUUCGUGCUAUUUGUGUAGUUCUUGGAACCUCUUGAGCUCUGUUAUCGAUCUCUGUGU
rnacentral:lncRNA from 1 species